GACUAACGCUGGCGGCGUGCUUAACACAUGCAAGUCGAACGGAAAAACUCAGCUUUCUUCUUCGGCACGAGUGUCAACCGGGUGAUUAACAAGUGAGUAAUCUCGCCUGGAUUUCGUGCUUUCUUCAAGAAACUGGGCCUUAUACCCGAUGGAUGCUACCGCUUCAUAGCGUGGGAUCGCAUGCUUCGGUGGUUGGGGUGGGACUCGCGGCUGAUGAGCUUGUGGGUGGGGAAGUGGCUUACCAAGUCUUAGCCGGGUAGCCGGCGUGAGAGGGUGACCGGCCACAGUGGGACUGAGAUACGGCCCAGACUCAUACGGGAGGCAGCAGUGGGGAAGAGUGCACAAGGGGCGGAAGCGUGAUGCAGCAGCGGCGCGUGCGGGAGGACGGCCUGCGGGUUGUAAACCGCUUUCGCCUGGGACGGAGAGUGAGUGACGGUAAUGGGUAAAGAAGCACCGGCUAACUACGUG
rnacentral:rRNA from 1 species